rnacentral:rRNA from 1 species
GAGACCGCUGUUUCUUCUUUAAACCAGAGGAAGGAUACGGCAAUAACAGGUCUGUGAUGCCCUCAGAUGUUCCGGGCUGCACACGUGCUACAAUGAUCAUUGCACUGUGCAUCUAACCCAAUGUGCGCGGACGCCGCCGUGCGUAUAUACUUUAUUGUGUAUGCGUAUCGUGCGUGCGACCGCGCCGAACCUGCUUAGAAAGUAAACAUUUCCAGCGGGUAAUCCAUUAGAAGUAAUGACUCGCAUAGACCAUGGCACACUAUAUGUACCCGCGGGUUCUACCCGGCUCGCCUUUGUGUGAGUGCAGUGCGUAGCUCGUUGUUUGGUACGUGCCACUCCGUAUUAAUUCAUACGUGGGGAUAGAUCAUUGUUUAAUUGUUGGUCUCGGUCUUAACUAGGAAUGCCUUGUACGGGUCUUUGGUUCAACAUACCACCCGGAAUACGUCCCUGCCCUUUGUACACACCGCCCGUCGCUCUUACCGAUGGAUUAUACUAUGAAUCUAUAGGACUGCCAAAGUUGCUCUCGGGCGCUUAGUGGAAAUAUAUAUGAAUAGUGGAUCUA